UACAGAGGUCUCAAGCGUUGUUCGGGAUUCAUUGGGCGUAAAGGGUGCGUAGGCGGCGCGGUAAGUCGGGUGUGAAAUUUCGAGGCUUAACUUCGAAACUGCAUUCGAUACUGCCGUGCUUGAGGACUGGAGAGGAGACUGGAAUUUACGGUGUAGCGGUGAAAUGCGUAGAUAUCGUAAGGAAGACCAGUGGCGAAGGCGGGUCUCUGGACGAGUUC
rnacentral:rRNA from 1 species